rnacentral:tRNA from 1 species
CUGAAUAGGUGGGCCUUGAUCCCACGAUAAAUUAAUUAACAG